rnacentral:rRNA from 1 species
AGAGUUUGAUCAUGGCUCAGGACGAACGCUGGCGGCGUGCCUAAUACAUGCAAGUCGAGCGGACUUUGCUUCUCUUUCGGGAGAAGCUUGGUUAGCGGCGGACGGGUGAGUAACACGUGGGCAACCUGCCUGUAAGACUGGGAUAACUAUCGGAAACGAUAGCUAAGACCGGAUAAUUGGUUUCUUCGCAUGGGGAGAUC